rnacentral:SRP_RNA from 1 species
GCUGGGUGUGGUGGCGCAUGCCUGUAGUCCCAGCUACUCGGGAGGCUGAGGCAGGAGAAUUGCUUGAACCCAGGAGACAGAGGUUGCAGUGAGCCAAGAUUGCACCACUGCACUCCAGCCUGGGCAACAGAGUGAGACUCUGUCUCAA